AGCCGGGGUUGAAUCUGAGAUGUUUUGCUGCGUCUGAUGUGAGUGCAAAGGCUAAGUGCUGUCUCCAGAAAAAGGAAUAAACCCAUUCAAGGACCCAGAAUGUCUUACGAAACCAUUGGCACAGGAUCUUUUGGAAGCAGAAAUCCGUUUGGUGGGCCCUCAAGGCAGGGCUACCAGCCUGUAGUCUUGACACAGGAUCUGAACCCCGGUCUCCCCUGCUGCUGAUGUGAUGUGCUUACGGACACAAUGUGCUUCCAGGUGCGCCACAGGGG